rnacentral:rRNA from 2 species
GUCCUUUUGUUAAAAAUAAUUUAAGGUCUAACCUGCCCAUUGAUUAAAUUAAAAGGCCGCAGUAAUUUGACUGUGCAAAGGUAGCAUAAUCAUUAGUUUUUUAAUUAAAAGCUUGUAUGAAUGGUUGGACGAGAUAAAAUCUGUCUCUUUAUAAAAAAUAGAAUUUAAUUUUUAAGUUAAAAAGCUUAAAUUUAAAUAAAAGACGAGAAGACCCUAUAGAUCUUUAUAUAAUUUUUUUUAAUAUUAAUAAAGUAAAUUUUAUUUAUUAAUAAAUUUUAUAUUUUAUUGGGGUAAUAUAAAGAUUAAAUUAAUUCUUUAAAAUUUAACAAAAAUUAUUGGUUAUAUGAUCCAUUAUUAAUGAUUAUAAGAUUAAGUUACCUUAGGGAUAACAGCGUAAUUUUUUUAGAGAGUUCUUAUCAAUAAAAAAGUUUGCGACCUCGAUGUUGGAUUAAAAGUAAUUUUGGGUGUAGAAGUUCAAAAUUUUGGUCUGUUCGACCAUUAAAUUUUU